rnacentral:misc_RNA from 1 species
GAAAUGCGAUAAGUAGUGUGAAUUGCAGAAUUUAGCGAAUCAUCGAAUCUUUGAACGCACAUUGCGCCCCUUGGUAUUCCAUGGGGCAUGCCUGUUCGAGCGUCAUUUCAACCCUCAAGCACUGCUUGGUGUUGGGCGUUUGUCCCGCCUACGCGCGUGGACUCGCCUCAAAGUCAUUGUCAGCUGUUCCCCUUCGGCUCGUAAGCGCAGCACAGUCGGCGCCCGGAGCUCUGGUGGGAUGGCGUCCAGCAAGCUAUAUUUUCAGGCUUGACCUCGGAUCAGGUAGGGAUACCCGCUGAACUUAAGC